UCCUUGAUGGCUCAGUUGGAUAGAAUGUCUGCCAUGUAAGCAGAAGAUCCUGGGUUCGAGUCCCGGUCAGGGCA